UCACGCGCGUGCACACGUUUUUAUGAGGGUGAGCUAUGCGCGUGAGUGAUCUCAGCAUCGUCUACACUACAGCCUACAGCUAAAGUCUACAGCAACGGACUCUGAGCUACAUACACCCCAAAGGCUCUUUUCAGAGCCCAGGCCCAUUUUGCACAGCGUCUUUGCCUUUGUACAUGUACUUGCCGCGUCAGCACACACGACGGCUGGAACUACAGUAU